AACUGUUUUUCACUGCCUCAGACCUUGAGUUCCAUGUUAGGUCAAAUAAAGACAGUCUUGUUAGUGGGGUCUUCCAGGAAAUCACCAACUAGGCCAAAUAAUAACAAAUUCCAUGUUAAUGGAGUUUUGAAUGAGUUCCAAUUCCAUUCUGCUCCCUCCCAUGGUUGCCAGGCGACUGGUUUUCUCCGUGAUUGCAGGCUAUUGGUUUUCAAGGCUACUGUAGUGCUGGAGAGGGAAUGUCCUCCCUCCUAAUUACCAUGGAGUGGGUUCCUUCUGCUCCCAGCUCAAUGUCAUCUCUACAGAAAGCCCUUUGCUAACCAUCCCCUGAAACAGACUCAAAAGGAUUAAGUCACCCACCUGUGGACACACGGGGUGAAGAAACAAUUUGAAUGUCCAAUGAGACAGUGGAAACUGAAUAAACAUACUGCCUAAUAACAAGUGAUGGAGGCAAAAGGUAUUCUCAGCACCCAGGAAUUUAUCAAGUAACAGAUGCUAUACCAGCUAGGAUAACAAGAAAUACCAAAUGCACAGCGGAAAAGGAAAGAUAUGAGAGAGGAAAAUCCAUUUCAGCAUCCGAAAGGACUGAUCGUUAAGCAGCAGUAAGAAUUUAAAAGCCAGUCUCUGAAAGGCCUCAAACAAGUGCCUCUGGAGUGUUCUGGCAGGCUGACAAGAGGACAAAUCCUGGAACUGCAAUUCACAUAGCAACUGGCCAUUCAUCCUGAAAAUAAAUCUACUUUGGUCAUUAUUUAUCCAGCA
rnacentral:lncRNA from 1 species